ensembl:lncRNA
AUGGGGCAGGGAGCCAUGGUGGAGCCGGCUGACUCUGUGCUGGAUGGGAUCAGCGACGAUGAAGAAAAAUCUGUGCAGGGAGGGAUUAUCAGAGGCACAAGUGAGAAGAAGCCACCAGCAGCAGAAGAAGCUUGCCUUUCUGUUACUACAUGUUUGCUGCAUGAGUUUCAUUUACUGGCUGGAGGGGAGGAGUCUCUUUUCACACAGACAAGCCUUCUAGAUGAAAGUGAAAAUAAGAAGAUCGGAGACAGGAGCGUAACACCAACUCUAGGUAAAGCAUGCAGUUUUAUCAACAUUUUGAUUAAUUUGCUCAGAUAUUUUUUCCCUUUAGGGCCUACAUACAGCCUGAUAGCUCUAGAAUGACAUUUGAGCACUACACUCCUUAAAGAUUAGUUGUAAAGAUCGUGUAGGGCUGGCAGAGGAAACAGACAUGUGGGGUACAACACUGUUUAGACUACCUAUGUUUUUAUAGUGUCAAAUGACUGUCUCUGUAAAUGCGUUAUUGAAUCAUUCACUCAGGUGAUUAGUUUAGCAAUACUAAUUUAUUCAGUACUACUGACUGUUGUUUAGAGAUGGAACGGUCGAUUCUACAAGACUUCUUGAUUGGAACUAUAAGCAAAGUCAGCCGCAAAUAUCCAGUUUAGGGACUGAACAGAUAAAUUUACACUAAAUAUAACCACAUAAAAAUUACUUAAUUAUUAUAACUGAGAAAUACUGAUUGUUGGCUAAAACAGACCUUAAAUGUCAUGUAGACAUUUGAGUCUUUUUGUAAGCUGUUCAUUUACAAGAUCAAAGUGUCUGAGUGGAUUGAUGAGUCUAAACCAUAAGCUUGCAUUCUGUAGCCAUCGUGACUCUUGAGAGCCAAGCUGACAGUAGCAUAUUAACACUGACGUAUGGAAGCCACUGGUGUUUUUGGUUUUAUUUGUGGUAAAACCAUGGUUAAUUUUCAUAAGGGUAGUGGCACAUCCGGGGACACUUCCGGUUUUCAAGUUUGGCAUGCAUAGAUAUGUAUAGGUAGAUCAUAGAUGCCCCAUUUGACUGCACCAAGCACGUAGAAGUGUCCACUAUCUUUAACGGUCAACUUGACUUCAUUCACCAUAAUAAUCAAUGAGUAUUCGAAGAUGCCAAAAUCCUGUUUUGAAAGAAAAAGUUUUGAAAGAUUGGUAACUUGUUAGUUAGUUCUUAAACAACAAUACGUUGAGCUCUCUCAGCCACCAUACUCGAGGGUUUGCAGAUCAUCGGCUGUUAUGGUGAAUGACGUCAAGUUGACCCUUCGAAUAUGGCGGACAGCUUAUAGUAGCCCAUAGAAACAGUCAAAGCAACUAGAAGGCAAGCCUGCAACCUUUAGCCAAAAAAAGCGUAACGGCUAAUGCUAACGGUUCCGGUUUGCCAGUACGUGGGAAAGGAGACCAGAGGCUGUUUUUUUUUUUAAUGGAUGUCAAUGGAGGAGAGUCUUCACUACGCUCAAUAAACAGCUUUUUAGAGGAAACA